AGUAUCUACUGGUUGUUUGGGUGU
rnacentral:siRNA from 1 species